rnacentral:rRNA from 1 species
GCCAACCAGCUAGCUUAAUUACUAAUAUAAUUCGACUACAUUUAUAACAAAACAUGGCCCAACACCACAAACUAAACCAUUUUUUUACCUGAGUAUGGGAGACAGAAAAGGUUCAACCCUAAAGCAAUAGAAAAAGUACCGCAAGGGAACGCUGAAAGAGAAAUGAAACAACCCAUAUAAGCACCGAAAAACAAAGCCUAAACCUUGUACCUUUUGCAUCAUGAUUUAGCCAGUACCCCCAAGCAAAGAGACCUUUAGUUUGAUACCCCGAAACCAGGUGAGCUACCCCGAGACAGCCUAUAUUAAUUUAGGGCUAACCCGUCUCUGUGGCAAAAGAGUGGAAAGAGCUCCGGGUAGAAGUGAAAGACCUACCGAACCUGGUGAUAGCUGGUUGACUGAGAAACGGAUAGAAGUUCAGCCUCGCACACCCCAAACCAAAAAAUAUUAUCACCAAGAUAUUAAGGGAAACGUACGAGAGUUAGUUAAAAGGGGUACAGCCCUUUUAACAAAGGAUACAACCUUUACAGGAGGAUAAAGAUCAUAAUGUAUAAGAUAUACUGUUCUAGUGGGCCUGAAAGCAGCCACCUAAACAGAAAGCGUUAAAGCUCGGACAGAAGGAAGUUUAUUAUACUGAUAAAAAAUCUUAUUCCCCUAGCUAUAUCAGACCAACCCAUGCCUCCAUGGAAGAGAUUAUGCUAAAAUGAGUAAUAAGAAGACCCGCUCUUCUCCCAGCACAAGUGUAAACCAGAUCGGACUGACCACUGGAACUUAACGAACCCAACCCCAGAGGGUAGUGUGAUUAACAAAAAACUCAAGAAGGCCUCACAUAACUAAUCGUUAACCCCACACUGGAGUGCUAUUUUAAGGGAAAGACUAAAAGAAGGGGAAGGAACUCGGCAAACACAAGCCUCGCCUGUUUACCAAAAACAUCGCCUCCUGCAACUAAACUGAGUAUAGGAGGUCCAGCCUGCCCAGUGACUACGGGUUCAACGGCCGCGGUAUCUUGACCGUGCAAAGGUAGCGCAAUCACUUGUCUCUUAAAUAGAGACCUGUAUGAAUGGCUAGACGAGGGCUUAACUGUCUCCCCCUUCCAGUCAGUGAAAUUGAUCUAUCCGUGCAGAAGCGGGUAUAAAUAUAC